rnacentral:rRNA from 1 species
UACGGAGGGGGCAAGCGUUGUUCGGAAUCACUGGGUGUAAAGGGUGCGUAGGCGGUCCGUUAAGUCUGAUGUGAAAGCCCUGGGCUCAACUCAGGAAUUGCAUUGGAAACUGGCGGGCUGGAGUACGGGAGAGGGAAGCGGAAUUCCUGGUGUAGCGGUGAAAUGCGUAGAUAUCUGGAGGAACACCGGUGGCGAAGGCGGCAUCCUGGGCCACGACUGACGCUGAGGAGCGAAAGCCAGGGGAGCAAACGGG